GCCCAUUGCUCCUGGGCUACAAACCUGUACAGCCUGCUACUGUACUGGAUACUGUAGGCAGCUGUAGCACAAUGCGUCCUUUUCUCGCGCCUCUUCUUCAGCUACGUGUUCCUGUUCCAGUUUCAACAAUUCCUCAUUGGUCAGUUCCUCAGGAGCCACCUCCAGGAACUCCUCAGUGUCGUCCUCAUCCACACCCAGGUCAAUCACUCAACAUGGCCUCUUACUGGCAACAUAGCAGAUUUUGUAUGCUUAGGGACCAUGAUGAACAAAACAACAUGAGAUUAAAUCAAGCACAAGAGAAAUGAUGCACUCAAGAGCUGCAGUAAACACGAGAUGUAUCAGGCUGCUGCUGGCAUAAUACAGCAUACUAUUUUACAAUCAUUGAAAGCAGAAAGAACUCAUUACCAACAGACCCACACCACAAGAAACGCUAAAGAAGACUGUUGAGGCAGAAGGGAAGUGAUACCACAUGGAAAUCUGGAUCUACAGGAAGGAAUGAAGAGCACUGAAAACCCUAAGUCCUAAUGGCAGUCGACAUCAAACACCCAUUCCAUGGGGACCUACAGUGUGCCAGGCAUGAAGCCAGGCAGUGGGGAAGAUCAAAAGAGGACUACCUCAGGGCAGAUGAGAUUUGUCACAUGAACAUUCAUGUUCCCUCACUCGCUCACACACGCACCACACAGGAUGCGUGCCCCUCAGCCUUCACUUCCCCUGCUGAGGAGAGCCAAAACCACAAGGGCCCCCCGCCAAGUCUCCCACUCACUCACACGCCUCCUUGGAGGUGCCUAGAAAUCCAUUAGCCAGGAGAGACGUUUCCACUGUGACAUGAGAGGGAAAGCUCAAACUACAAACACACUUGGGAGAAGUAACGUC
rnacentral:lncRNA from 1 species